rnacentral:rRNA from 1 species
AAUCAACGCUGGCGGCGUGCCUCAGACAUGCAAGUCGAACGCGAAAGUUUCCUUCGGGAAGCGAGUAGAGUGGCGCACGGGUGAGUAACACGUAAGUAAUCUACCCUUGGGUGGGAAGUAACAUCGGGAACCGAUGCUAAUACCGCAUAAUGCAGCGGCUUCAUAUGAAGACAGUUGUUAAAGCAUUUAUGUGCCUAAGGAGGAGCUUGCGGCAGAUUAGCAGUUGGUAAGGUAACGGCUUACCAAGGCAACGAUCUGUAGCCGACCUGAGAGGGUGGUCGGUCACACUGACACUGAAUAACGGGUCAGACUCCUACGGGAGGCAGCAGUCGGGAAUUUGGGCAAUGGGCGCAAGCCUGACCCAGCAACGCCGCGUGAAGGAUGAAGUAUUUCGGUAUGUAAACUUACGUAAAAAUAGGAAGAAUAAAUGACGGUACUAUUUGUAAGGUCCGGCUAACUACGUGCCAGCAGCCGCGCUGUAA